rnacentral:rRNA from 1 species
UACGUAGGUGGCAAGCGUUGUCCGGAAUUAUUGGGCGUAAAGCGCGUGUAGGCGGUACUUCAAGUCAGGCGUGAAAGCCCCGGGCUCAACCUGGGAACCGCGCUUGAGACUGGAGAACUAGAGUUCGGGAGAGGAUGGUGGAAUUCCCAGUGUAGAGGUGAAAUUCGUAGAUAUUGGGAAGAACACCGAUGGCGAAGGCAGCCAUCUGGACCGACACUGACGCUGAGGCGCGAAAGCGUGGGGAGCAAACAGG